rfam:Halomonas meridiana strain R1t3 scaffold_92, whole genome shotgun sequence.
UCUGAAUGGGGAAACCCACUCAUCAACAGAUGAGUAUCUUACGCUGAAUAUAUAGGCGUAAGAGGCGAACCAGGGGAACUGAAACAUCUAAGUACCCUGAGGAAAAGAAAUCAACCGAGAUUCCCCUAGUAGCGGCGAGCGAACGGGGACCAGCCCUUAAGCGUGUGACGGAUUAGACGAACAGACUGGGAAGUCUGGCCAUAGCGGGUGAUAGCCCCGUAGUCGAAAAUCUGAUCACGUGAAAUCGAGUAGGUCGGGGCACGAGAAACCUUGACUGAAGACGGGGGGACCAUCCUCCAAGGCUAAAUACUCCUGACUGACCGAUAGUGAACCAGUACCGUGAGGGAAAGGCGAAAAGAACCCCGGAGAGGGGAGUGAAAUAGAUCCUGAAACCGUGUGCGUACAAGCAGUAGGAGCAGUCGCUGGAUAUAGACCCGAAACCGAGCGAUCUAUCCAUGAGCAGGGUGAAGGUUGAGUAACAUCAACUGGAGGCCCGAACCAGGAUCUGUUGAAAAAGAUUUGGAUGACUUGUGGAUCGGAGUGAAAGGCUAAUCAAGCUCGGAGAUAGCUGGUUCUCCUCGAAAGCUAUUUAGGUAGCGCCUCACGUAUCACCGCCGGGGGUAGAGCACUGUUUCGGCUAGGGGGUCAUCCCGACUUACCAACCCGAGGCAAACUCCGAAUACCGGUGAGUGCCAGCGUGGGAGACACACGGCGGGUGCUAACGUCCGUCGUGAAAAGGGAAACAACCCAGACCGUCAGCUAAGGUCCCCAAAUCCUGGUUAAGUGGGAAACGAUGUGGGAAGGCUCAGACAGCUAGGAGGUUGGCUUAGAAGCAGCCAUCCUUUAAAGAAAGCGUAAUAGCUCACUAGUCGAGUCGGCCUGCGCGGAAGAUGUAACGGGGCUAAACCAGGUACCGAAGCUACGGGUUCAGUAACGAUAAAGGGAGUGAAAAACUCCCUCGCCGGAAGACCAAGGGUUUCUGUUCGACGCUAAUCGGAGCAGAGUGAGUCGGCCCCUAAGGCGAGGCCGAAAGGCGUAGUCGAUGGGAAACGGGUCAAUAUUCCCGUACCGGACAUGAUUGCGAUGGGGGGACGGAGAAGGCUAGGUGAGCCAGGCGUUGGUUGUCCUGGUGAAAGUGAGUAGGCUUGGGUCUUAGGUAAAUCCGGGACCCUUCAAGGCCGAGACACGAAACGAAUGAGAAUCCCAAGGCGCUUGAGAGAACUCGGGUGAAGGAACUAGGCAAAAUGGUGCCGUAACUUCGGGAGAAGGCACGCCGGCGUAGGGUGAGAGGACUUGCUCCUUCAGCCCGAACCGGUCGAAGAUACCAGGUGGCUGCAACUGUUUAGUAAAAACACAGCACUCUGCUAACGCGCAAGCGGACGUAUAGGGUGUGACGCCUGCCCGGUGCCGGAAGGUUAAGUGAUGGUGUUAGGAUUCGUCCGAAGCUCUUGAUCGAAGCCCCGGUAAACGGCGGCCGUAACUAUAACGGUCCUAAGGUAGCGAAAUUCCUUGUCGGGUAAGUUCCGACCUGCACGAAUGGCGUAAUGAUGGCCACGCUGUCUCCACCCGAGACUCAGUGAAAUUGAAAUCGCCGUGAAGAUGCGGUGUACCCGCGGCUAGACGGAAAGACCCCGUGAACCUUUACUAUAGCUUCACACUGGACGCUGAUGUUGCCUGUGUAGGAUAGCUGGGAGGCUUAGAAACCCGGACGCCAGUUCGGGUGGAGCCAACCUUGAAAUACCAGCCUGGCAUCAUUGGCGUUCUCACUCAGGUCCGUGAUCCGGAUCGAGGACAGUGUGUGGUGGGUAGUUUGACUGGGGCGGUCUCCUCCCAAAGAGUAACGGAGGAGCACGAAGGUACCCUCAGCACGGUCGGACAUCGUGCAAUGAGUGCAAGAGCAUAAGGGUGCUUGACUGCGAGACAGACACGUCGAGCAGGUGCGAAAGCAGGUUCUAGUGAUCCGGUGGUUCUGUAUGGAAGGGCCAUCGCUCAACGGAUAAAAGGUACUCCGGGGAUAACAGGCUGAUACCGCCCAAGAGUUCACAUCGACGGCGGUGUUUGGCACCUCGAUGUCGGCUCAUCACAUCCUGGGGCUGAAGUCGGUCCCAAGGGUAUGGCUGUUCGCCAUUUAAAGUGGUACGCGAGCUGGGUUUAGAACGUCGUGAGACAGUUCGGUCCCUAUCUGCCGUGGGCGUUGGAUGUUUGAGAAGAGCUGCUCCUAGUACGAGAGGACCGGAGUGGACGACCCUCUGGUGUUCCGGUUGUCACGCCAGUGGCAUUGCCGGGUAGCUAUGGUCGGAC